rnacentral:lncRNA from 1 species
AGAGAGGGUCGACUGACCUGCGGGCCGGCUGCUGGCGGUCUGCUUACUCCGGCAAAGACGGGGGCGCAUCGGGCCGUUUGAGGAAGGCAGACUGUGAAAGGACUUGGGACAAAGAUGAGGCGGAGUAGAGGCGGCCUGAGCAGAGCAGAACAACUUUGAUAUUUAGUUUUAUUUAACUCGCACUCCUCUCCUUGCUCCCCUUCCCCAAAACAACUUUCUCUUC